CAGGCUUAACACAUGCAAGUCGAGGGGCAGCAUGGUCUUAGCUUGCUAAGGCCGAUGGCGACCGGCGCACGGGUGAGUAACACGUAUCCAACCUGCCGUCUACUCUUGGACAGCCUUCUGAAAGGAAGAUUAAUACAAGAUGGCAUCAUGAGUCCGCAUGUUCACAUGAUUAAAGGUAUUCCGGUAGACGAUGGGGAUGCGUUCCAUUAGAUAGUAGGCGGGGUAACGGCCCACCUAGUCUUCGAUGGAUAGGGGUUCUGAGAGGAAGGUCCCCCACAUUGGAACUGAGACACGGUCCAAACUCCUACGGGAGGCAGCAGUGAGGAAUAUUGGUCAAUGGGCGAGAGCCUGAACCAGCCAAGUAGCGUGAAGGAUGACUGCCCUAUGGGUUGUAAACUUCUUUUAUAAAGGAAUAAAGUCGGGUAUGGAUACCCGUUUGCAUGUACUUUAUGAAUAAGGAUCGGCUAACUCCGUGCCAGCAGCCGCGGUAAUACGGAGGAUCCGAGCGUUAUCCGGAUUUAUUGGGUUUAAAGGGAGCGUAGAUGGAUGUUUAAGUCAGUUGUGAAAGUUUGCGGCUCAACCUUAAAAUUGCAGUUGAUACUGGAUAUCUUGAGUGCAGUUGAGGCAGGCGGAAUUCGUGGUGUAGCGGUGAAAUGCUUAGAUAUCACGAAGAACUCCGAUUGCGAAGGCAGCCUGCUAAGCUGCAACUGACAUUGAGGCUCGAAAGUGUGGGUAUCAAACAGGAUUAGAUACCCUGGUAGUCCACACGGUAAACGAUGAAUACUCGCUGUUUGCGAUAUACGGCAAGCGGCCAAGCGAAAGCGUUAAGUAUUCCACCUGGGGAGUACGCCCGGCAACGGUGAAACUCAAAGGAAUUGACGGGGGCCCGCACAAGCGGAGGAACAUGUGGUUUAAUUCGAUGAUACGCGAGGAACCUUAUCCGGGCUUAAAUUGCAGAUGAAUUACGGUGAAAGCCGUAAGCCGCAAGGCAUCUGUGAAGGUGCUGCAUGGUUGUUGUCAGCUCGUGCCGUGAGGUGUCGGCUUAAGUGCCAUAACGAGCGCAACCCUUGUUGUCAGUUACUAACAGGUUCCGCUGAGGACUCUGACAAGACUGCCAUCGUAAGAUGUGAGGAAGGUGGGGAUGACGUCAAAUCAGCACGGCCUUUACGUCCGGGGCUACACACGUGUUACAAUGGGGGGUACAGAGGGCCGCUACCACGCGAGUGGAUGCCAAUCCCCAAAACUUCUCUCAGUUCGGACUGGAGUCUGCAACCCGACUCCACGAAGCUGGAUUCGCUAGUAAUCGCGCAUCAGCCUCGGCGCGGUGAAUACGUUCCCGGGCUUUGUACACUCCUCCCGUCAAGCCUUGGGAGCCGGGGGUACUCUGAAGUGCGUAACCGCGAGGAGCUCCUUAGGGUAAAACUGGUGACUG
rnacentral:rRNA from 1 species